UGGGAGGAUUUCCGAGUGGUUAAAGGAAUCUGACUGUAAAUCAGACGGCUCUGCCUUCGCAGGUUCGAAUCCUGCUCCUCCCACCU
rnacentral:tRNA from 1 species